rnacentral:rRNA from 1 species
UAUUGGAACUUUAUACUUUUUAAGAAGUUUAUGGUCUGGGAUGGCAGGACUAGGAAUAAGAUUUAUUAUUCGUCUUGAGCUCAGACAACCCGGGCUCAUAUUAAUUGAUGGUCAAAUUUAUAAUGUUAUUGUUACUGCUCAUGCAUUUGUUAUAAUUUUUUUUCUUGUCAUGCCAGCUUUAAUUGGAGGAUUUGGAAAUUGGUUAGUUCCUAUUAUGCUAGGAGCUCCAGAUAUAGUUUUUCCCCGAAUAAAUAAUAUAAGAUUUUGAUUUCUUAUACCAGCUCUUACUAUACUUUUAUUAAGAUCAAUUUUAGAGUCAGGGGCCGGCACUGGUUGAACAGUGUAUCCUCCUUUGUCGUUAAAAGAUUCGCACAGAGGAAAAUCUGUGGAUAUAGCUAUUUUUGCUCUUCAUUUAGCAGGAAUUUCUUCUAUUUUAGGGGCUAUCAAUUUCAUUAGAACUAUUUAUAAUAUACGUCCUAUAAAAAUAUCAAUAGAUUUAGUGCCCAUACUACCUUGGUCAGUUCUUAUUACUGCUAUUCUUUUACUUUUAUCUUUACCUGUCUUAGCGGGGGCAAUUACUAUAUUAUUAACAGAUCGUAAUUUUAAUACUUCUUUUUUUGAAACUGGAGGAGGGGGAGAUCCAGUUUUAUACCAACACUUA